GGUUGAUGGAAUCAUUUUUAUUUUGAUAUCUUCAUGCAUAACCAAGGCUUGCAUAACUAUUCUUAUAAGGAAUAUGAGUAAUUGAAAUUACAUAUUUAAACGUAAGGUAUAAUGUCUGGUACAAUUUGAGUACAAUGACAUAUUUGAUUCAAUAUUAUUCGAUUCAUAUUCGAUUGAUAACGAUUCAAUGAGGAAAUGCUGACUGCGAUGCAUGUCUUCCAUUUUUAAAAAUGGCCGGCGAAGUUGUCGUUGAUGCCCUGCCGUACAUCGAUCAGGGUUAUGAAGAGGCGGGUGUGAGGGAGGCUGCUUUGGCCCUGGUUGAAGAAGAAACUCGUCGCUAUCGCCCGACUAAGAAUUAUUUGGACCACCUCCCGCCUUUGAAUUUAUCUCAGUAUGAGACUGAGGUGAUGCGUGCUGAGUUUGACCGACUGGCCGCCCGCCAGCCCAUGGAAAUGCUCAGCAUGAAGCGGUACGAACUGCCCACGCCUCCGUCUGGAAAGAUGACGGACAUCAGUGCCUGGAAUGAGUGUGUCGAUAACUCGAUGGCUCAGCUCGAGCACCAGGCCACCAGAAUAGAAAAUCUGGAGCUGAUGAUGGACCACGGCUGCGAAGCCUGGAAGAUUUACAAUGAGGUUCUGGUCAAGAUGGCGUCGGAUGCACAGAAACAGCUGCAGGAUGUCAAAAAGAACAUACAAGAGGUGAACUGGAAAAGGAAACAGGCGCAACAGAAUGCCGGCGGUGAGUUGAGAAGACUUGAAGAAACUUGGGUCGGCUUAGUGAGCAAGAACUAUGAAAUCGAACAAGCGUGUGUGAACCUGGAGAGAGAACUCGCAAAGCUGAAGGACGAAAUGAGCUUUGUGCAAAGCGAAUGAGUGCGCGCCGACCUUAUCAUUUGGUGUUCAUGUGUCGACUUUUUUAUUUUGUCGAGGAGCCGGUGGGCUCAUUUCACUAUUGGACGAGAUACGGGGCUAGAACGAGUUCCGCCUGUCCCGGUUGUCGCGACAGCCUGACUUCACCUACUGUGUUCCACUGCUGCUGCAGAUGGAUUUAAUGUUGCACUGUCUGGUCAGCAUUGAUAAAUACAUCAUCACGAAA